AUAGUUGAAUAAACAUUUUAUUUCUAGGGUUCAUUUGAGCUUCAGCACUCUGACUAGAUCCGUCCAUGGCGGCGCAGAGGGCCCCUCCCGGCCUGGAUCCGGCCAAGGGCGGCGUGGAGGUGGGCUGCCUAGCCUCGAUCCGGUCAACGACAGCGCGGGUUGGCCUCGAUUCCUAGCGUGGAAGAGACUGCUCGACCUCAAUCUGGUGAACGGCGGUGUUGCUGCUCGAGCUCCGUCAAAGGGCGAAGCGGAGGAAGGCCCUCCCGCUUUUGAUUGGGCUAAGGCAGCAUGGAGGAGGGCCGACUGGCGUUGGGGUCAUCGAGCUUGUCGUAAUCCGCUGCGGUUACCUGCGACGACAUUGGAUGAAGAUGCCAUUGGAGGUCUCGGCAAUGGGCUUUCUUAUGGCCGUCCCAUCCCAUCCCUGGCGGUGGCAACCAGAUCAUCCAGCUCGGCCAUGUCAGGAAUCAAAAUUACUAUGACAACAAUGCUCUAAAUUCUUCAGCAAAUGAGGAUGUUGAGACAAGGUACUAACAUGGAUAAUAUUGCUGGGCCUUCAGUUUCAGAGUUUGAUGUACUAAAGCAAGGGGGCCAUAGAUGUGCACGGUCAUCAAUAUGACCUGCCAUCAGUUUCAAGUCAUGCAUAUUCAAACACAACACAGCCAAAUACUACAAUGGAAGACCCACAAGGAAACACACAAGCACAACCCCUUUCCUAUGUUUUGGCUUACUGGGGGUUCCUUCCCAGCCAUUGCACCAACUCUGGCAGCACAGCUACUAAACCUUCUGUGCUCUCUUGGGAGAUGCCUCUCUACGCUGCCAGGUUACAUGCAAGCCUUGGCACGCUGCAUUGUGAAGCAAGACUAGCUGAACUGCCGUCUUGAACGCUGUUGAGCAGAGGACGAUCCAUCCAACAACGAUGAAGUGUUUUGUUUUUCUUGCAGUUGUGUGUUCUGGAACUAAAUUAGGUUGUCAUGGUUUUUACUUGAUAGUGAGUGGUGUUGCAGAGAUGCUAUCUUGUAACGGUGAAGUCCUAACUCAUCUAACAGAUAUGCUUCUCAUAACCCUGCAAUGUGCCAUUU